AGGGGGUUGAGCAAAGCAGCGAGUGACUCUCGUCCCAGCCUGGCGCUGGACAGCAGGGCCGCGAGGGAGGGAGGGAGGGAGGGAGGGCCUCCCCAGCGUGGCUGGGCUAGCCAGGCAGCCGCAAGCCCUUGGCCAGCCCGGGCCUCUUCCCGAGGCGGCCUUCUGCCCUGUGGCAUCCACCUCUCCUGGGUAGCAAACCCGAGGCUCCGGCUGUUCCCCACAAAGCCCCCUUUGUCCAGGAGAGAUUAACAAGCCAAAGAGGGCAGCUCAGCUGGGUCCAAGCGACAGAGGCCUCCGCCCCUGGGAUACGGCGGACUGUCACGUAGAGUUAAAUCAGGCCGGCAGCAGCUGAGAAUGCCUUCGCCUCCACCCCCUGCGGUCACGAGAUUUGCUGCUUUCCAAAUAUGACAUGUUCAGCCCUCAAGGAUCCUUGGGAGAGAAAUAUGGAAGCAAUAAAUAGCACAUCUUGUCUACUUGAAGAUGGACGGGGGUGGCAGGCGGGUCUGAGGGGGAAGGCAGCACUGCCUUCUCUGGCCAGCGAGGGCAGACUCCUGUGACUGGCCAGGAGCGUGGCGCCCCGUGGUCAAAGUGCCAGCCUCCUCCAUUCAAGGAGAACAGCGAAACCUUCACAAAUGUGACCCCCCCAGAAGCAGAUUUGCAGGAGGUCUAGAGAUCUGCCCUCAACUUCCUGAGCUCCGAAGGAUCAAAACCCAAAUGCAGUUUGCAAUAAAACAUACGACACCCACAUUUGUGGAACAGGGAAUAGCAGUUAAGUGGGGAGUCUCUCCCGGCUGGUGGUCACCAUGGAUAUCAAGCGUAGUUUCAGCCCCCAACCCACCCCACAAUAAGGCCGUGCUGCCACAAAAGUCUGUGGGGCCAUUCCUCUUGACAGUUUCCGAAGCAUCAAACAAAGCACCGGAGGGGGAAGACCGGUGACCAGGCUCCACGUGGCAUCUGAACUGCCUGUGACCCGAAGGGAUGCAGCCACUUGAGAACCUGUCAGCUGUGCCACCCUCCCCUGGAGAGGAGGAGCGAAUGCCACGGAGCGUCUGCGUCUGGAGACGGGGCGGGGGGCGGGGAUGUGCCCUCUCUCCGCUCGGUAAGUCAUGAGAGAUGAGUGGCUCGCUACUUAUUGCCUGUGCACAUGAGAAGGUGUUGCUUGGCAGGCGGUCGUUCAGCGUUAACUGCGCGACUGCGGAGUGCCCUGAAGUGCCUUGCUGAGCUCUUUCUGUUGGUUUCCUGCCAGCAGAGGGAGCUCUUCCCUCUCUCUGUUCUGGUUACAGGAUCAGCACCGCAAUUGCCUCCUCUGCUGGCUGGAGGGGCUGGGGCAGCUACUCAGGUCUGUUCUCCAUCUGGCUGUCAGUGUGACCCUGAGGGCUUCUCGUUCUGACCUGAGCAAACGGCCUUGGGCGUGGGCACUUGGCCUCUUGAACGGCCCCAUCGGCUGGCUGGCUGGCUGCCUCUCUCUGCAGGUGGGCACACCUCCCUGCCCUGCUUAGUGGUGGGGGUUUGCUUCCAUUGAUUCCACCCGCCCCCUACACUCGAGAGAAAUCUUUUUGAGGAGGAGAUUGUUUAAAUCCUGGGGAUCUCAUCAGUGAUCUCCUUGGGUGUCCCAACCGGGGUGUGUGCAUGGGGGGUGGGGGGGUGGCUGCUGUUGGUGGCCUGGGGCAGGAAAACGACAGGGAACCCUAACCCUCGUGGAAGCCUCCUUGCUCUUUCCCUCUGUUCGUGCUGUGGGGUGCAGAGGCUGUGGCUCGGAGAUCGGGAGGCGGCAGCCACGCAGGGGACAGCUGGCACCCAGCCCAAAGUUCUAUUGUUUCCAGAAACAUUUAAUUGAUGAGGCCAUAAAGCAAUGUUAUGUUUCCCUGACACAACAGCGACAGUUCUUCCUACGGUAUUAAUUGUCAAUAAAAGUUAAAUGAGGAUGCCA